rnacentral:rRNA from 1 species
CCCGGCACAAGCGGUGGAGCAUGUGGUUUAAUUCGAUGCAACGCGAAGAACCUUACCUGGUCUUGACAUCCACAGAACUUGGCAGAGAUGCCUUGGUGCCUUCGGGAACUGUGAGACAGGUGCUACAUGGCUGUCGUCAGCUCGUGUUGUGAAAUGUGGGUUAAGUCCCGCAACGAGCGCAACCCUUAUCCUUGUUGCCAGCGGUCCGGCCGGGAACUCAAAGGAGACUGCCAGUGAUAAACUGGAGGAAGGUGGGGAUGACGUCAAGUCAUCAUGGCCCUUACGACCAGGGCUACACACGUGCUACAAUGGCAUAUACAAAGAGAAGCGACCUCGCGAGAGCAAGCGGACCUCAUAAAGUAUGUCGUAGUCCGGAUUGGAGUCUGCAACUCGACUCCAUGAAGUCGGAAUCGCUAGUAAUCGUGGAUCAGAAUGCCACGGUGAAUACGUUCCCGGGCCUU